UACGUAGGGGGCAAGCGUUGUCCGGAUUCAUUGGGCGUAAAGAGCGUGUAGGCGGCCAGGUAGGUCGGUUGUGAAAACUGGAGGCUCAACCUUCAGAGGUCGACCGAAACCAUCUGGCUAGAGUCCGGGAGAGGAGAGUGGAAUUCCUGGUGUAGCGGUGAAAUGCGCAGAUAUCAGGAGGAACACCGGUGGCGAAGGCGGAUCUCUGGACAGUUCCUGACACUGAGACACGAAGGCCAGGGGAGCAAACGGG
rnacentral:rRNA from 1 species